ACGGCGAAUGCCGGCCGGACUACAUGGAUUGUGAUUCCCCAGGAUGCGGGUUCGAGUCCCGCCCCGGCUUUCAGCCGGGUAGCUCAAUCGGUUGGAGCAGGAGAGGUCCGGUCAAAUCCUUGUCGCCGUGGG
rnacentral:Y_RNA from 1 species